UUUAGCUUCAUAUGUUGCACAUUUGUUACUAAACAUUUCUAUUUACAGGAGUUACUUUGGAAACCAAGGGACAAGCAACUUCUCUCUGAGGCUGGCCGGUAUCCGACGUGCUAUGGAGGCUCUGACAUCCUCAGACAGUACCUCCCUUAAUUACCUCACCCACGCUGGGAGGAUGGUGUUGAGUGGACUGUCUGAGCUCAACCAGCAGAUCAACCACAUCAAUUUCACAGAUGUAUUUUAUGAAUUCGUUCUACUGAGCCUUCUUGAAGGAAAAAAAUCUAUUCC